GCCUCUGUACCUCAGUUGGUUAGAGCGCUGCACCGAAAUCGCAGAGCCGCAGGUUCGAUUCCUGCCAGGGACC
rnacentral:tRNA from 1 species